rnacentral:rRNA from 1 species
GACGAACGCUGGCGGCGUGCUUAACACAUGCAAGUCGAGCGGUAAGGCCCUUUCGGGGGUACACGAGCGGCGAACGGGUGAGUAACACGUGGGUGACCUGCCUUUAGCUCUGGGAUAAGCCUGGGAAACUGGGUCUAAUACUGGACAUGACUCCACGGUGCAUGGUGUGGGGUGGAAAGCCUUGUGCGGCUAGAGAUGGGCCCGCGGCCUAUCAGCUUGUUGGUGGGGUGAUGGCCUACCAAGGUGACGACGGGUAGUCGGCCUGAGAGGGCGACCGGCCACACUGGGACUGAGACACGGCCCAGACUCCUACGGGAGGCAGCAGUGGGGAAUCUUGCGCAAUGGGCGAAAGCCUGACGCAGCGACGCCGCGUGAGGGAUGACGGCCUUCGGGUUGUAAACCUCUUUCAGCCCUGACGAAGCGAGAGUGACGGUAGGGGCAGAAGAAGCACCGGCCAACUACGUGCCAGCAGCCGCCGUAAUAC